AGAAUCAACGCUGGCGGCGUGCCUAACACAUGCAAGUCGAACGAGAAAGGGUAGCAAUACCUGAGUAAAGUGGCGCACGGGUGAGUAACACGUGACUAACCUACCUUUUAGUGGGGGAUAACCUAGGGAAACCUGGGCUAAUACCGCAUAAUACCUACGGGUCAAAGCAGCAAUGCGCUGAAAGAGGGGGUCGCGGCCGAUUAGCUAGUUGGCGGGGUAAUGGCCCACCAAGGCAGUGAUCGGUAUCCGGCCUGAGAGGGCGCACGGACACACUGGAACUGAAACACGGUCCAGACUCCUACGGGAGGCAGCAGUGGGGAAUUUGCGCAAUGGGGGAAACCCUGACGCAGCAACGCCGCGUGGAGGAUGAAGUCCCUUGGGACGUAAACUCCUUUCGAUCGGGACGAUAAUGACGGUACCGGAAGAAGAACGCCCGGCUAACUUCGUGCCAGCAGCCGC
rnacentral:rRNA from 1 species